AUGGAAAUUGCACAUAUUGAUCAUGCGCAUGUUCAUACCCAUGAUCGUCCUAUUCAUCUCCUAGAUGUCCUUCAUGUUCCGGAGUCCAAAAAAAAUUUACUUGCUGCUCAUAAACUUGCUCAUGAUAAUCAUGCAUACUUAGAAAUUUACCCUGAAUUCUUUUCUAUCAAGGAGCAGGGAACGGGGAAAACUCUGGUGCGCGCUCGGAGUAGAGGUGGCCUCUAUCCUCUUGCUUCAUCGCCCGCUGUCCGUGGGAAACAUGCCCUUGGUGUGCAAAAACCUUCGUCUUCUCGAUGGCAUAGGCGCCUAGGGCACCCAUCUUUUGUCAUAGUCGAUCAAGUAGUCAAUAAAAAUCGUCUUCCUGUAUCCAAUAGAAGUCAUGAGUCUGUUUGUGAUGCAUGUCAGAGAGCAAAAAGUCAUCAGCUACCGUAUCCUCGGUCUACUAGUAUUUCUAGUGCUCCUUUAGAGCUAGUUUUUUCGGAUGUUUGGGGUCCUGCUGUACAAUCUGUUGGCAGAUUCCACUAUUAUAUUUCCUUCAUUGAUGAUUUCAGCAAGUUUACUUGGAUAUAUUUGAUCGAAAAUAGAUCUGAGGUGUUUCAAAAGUUUCAUGAUUUUCAACAACAUGUUGAGCGUCUAUUUGACAAAAACAAUUCUUGCAAGGCGAGUAUCGCAAGUUAA
rnacentral:rRNA from 1 species